UACGUAGGGUGCAGGCGUUAAUCGGAAUUACUGGGCGUAAAGCGUGCGCAGGCGGUCUUUUAAGUCAGAUGUGAAAUCCCCGGGCUUAACCUGGGAACUGCGUUUGAAACUGGAAGGCUUGAGUGUGGCAGAGGGGGUGGAAUUCCACGUGUAGCAGUGAAAUGCGUAGAUAUGUGGAGGAACACCGAUGGCGAAGGCAAUCCCCUGGGCCUGCACUGACGCUCAUGCACGAAAGCGUGGGGAGCAAACAGG
rnacentral:rRNA from 1 species